GACGAACGCUAGCGGCGUGCUUAACACAUGCAAGUCGCACGGAAAGGCCCUGCAUUCGUGGGACGCUCGCGUGCCGAACGGGUGAGUAACACGUGAGUAACCUGCCCUUGACUUUCGGAUAACUUCAGGUAACUGGGGCUAAUACCGGCUACGAGCUCCUGCUGCCUGGUUGGGGUUGGCAAGUUUCGGCGGGUGGGGAUGGACUCGCGGCUUAGCAGCUUGAUGGUGGGGUAGUGGCUUACCAAGGCUUUGCCGGGUAGCCGGCAUGAGAGGGUGACCGGCCACGUGGGUACCAAGAAACGGAUCGAAACACUACGGGAGGCAACAGUGGGGAGUAGAGCACGAUGGGCGGAAGCCGGAAGCAGCAACGUCACGGGCGGGAGGAGGGGCUUCUGGUUGUAAUCCGCUUACCCCUGUGACGAACCUUGAGUUACGUUAAUGGGUAAAGAAGCACCGGCCAACGACGUG
rnacentral:rRNA from 1 species